rnacentral:lncRNA from 1 species
UUGUUUUUAUGAUUUCCUCAUCGAGUUUCAAUGUGCUACUGUCAGGGCAUUCCAUUAUCAAGUUUUCAGUUAAAACUACCUCCAACUUAUCUUCCUUGCUUAAUUCACAUGCUUUUUGAGCGAGAGGAUCAACUACAUCUAUGCUGUAAAGAGAAAAAUUAUCGUCAGAAUACUUCAUUGCAUCGUAGACAUUAAACUUUACCUUUUCUCCAUCUAACUCCAUUGAAAGCGUGCCU